rnacentral:rRNA from 1 species
CCUACGGGAGGCAGCAGUGGGGAAUUUUCCGCAAUGGGCGAAAGCCUGACGGAGCAAUACCGCGUGAGGGAAGACUGCCUAUGGGUUGUAAACCUCUUUUUUCAGGGAGGAAUAAAAUGACGUGUACCUGAAGAAUAAGCAUCGGCUAACUCCGUGCCAGCAGCCGCGGUAAGACGGAGGAUGCAAGUGUUAUCCGGAAUCACUGGGCGUAAAGCGUCUGUAGGUGGUUUAAUAAGUCAACUGUUAAAUCUUGAGGCUCAACUUCAAAACCGCAGUCGAAACUAUUAGACUAGAGUAUAGUAGAGGUAAAGGGAAUUUCCAGUGGAGCGGUGAAAUGCGUAGAUAUUGGAAAGAACACCGAUGGCGAAAGCACUUUACUGGGCUAUUACUAACACUCAGAGACGAAAGCUAGGGUAGCAAAUGGGAUUAGAUACCCCAGUAGUCCUAGCCGUAAACUAUGGAUACUAGAUGUUGAACAGAUCGACCUGUGCAGUAUCAAAGCUGACGCGUUAAGUAUCCCGCCUGGGAAGUAUGCUCGCAAGAGUGAAACUCAAAUGAAAUUGACGG